UACGUAGGGUGCGAGCGUUAAUCGGAAUUACUGGGCGUAAAGCGUGCGCAGGCGGUUCUUUAAGUCAGGUGUGAAAGCCCUGGGCUUAACCUAGGAAUUGCGCUUGAGACUGGAUAGCUUGGAGUGCGGCAGAGGGAGGUGGAAUUCCACGUGUAGCAGUGAAAUGCGUAGAGAUGUGGAGGAACACCGAUGGCGAAGGCAGCCUCCUGGGCCAGCACUGACGCUCAUGCACGAAAGCGUGGGGAGCAAACAGG
rnacentral:rRNA from 1 species